ACUCAGCAUGGGCAUGAGGGCCCCUGCUCAGCUCCUUGGGCUCCUGCUGCUCUGGUUACCAGGUGCCAGAUGUGACAUCCAGAUGACCCAGUCUCCAUCCUCCCUGUCUGCAUCUCUGGGAGACAAAGUCACCAUCACUUGUCGAGCCAAUCAGGGCAUUAGCAAUUAUUUAAACUGGUACCAACAGAAACCAGGGAAAGCUCCUAAGCUCCUGAUCUACAGAGCAUCUAACUUGGACAAUGGGGUCCCAUCGAGGUUCAGUGGCAGUGGGUCUGGGACAGAUUAUUCUCUCACCAUCAACAGUCUGAAGCCUGAAGACUUUGCAACGUAUUACUGUCAGCAACGUGUUAGUACCCCUGCCACAGUGAUACAAGCCAUAACAUAA